rnacentral:rRNA from 1 species
UUCUUUAUCACCGAGUGCUUGCACUCACCGAUAAAGAGUUGAGUGGCGAACGGGUGAGUAACACGUGGGCAACCUGCCCAAAAGAGGGGGAUAACACUUGGAAACAGGUGCUAAUACCGCAUAACCAUAGUUACCGCAUGGUAACUAUGUAAAAGGUGGCUAUGCUACCGCUUUUGGAUGGGCCCGCGGCGCAUUAGCUAGUUGGUGGGGUAAAGGCUUACCAAGGCAAUGAUGCGUAGCCGAACUGAGAGGUUGAUCGGCCACAUUGGGACUGAGACACGGCCCAAACUCCUACGGGAGGCAGCAGUAGGGAAUCUUCCACAAUGGGCGAAAGCCUGAUGGAGCAACGCCGCGUGGGUGAAGAAGGUCUUCGGAUCGUAAAACCCUGUUGUUAGAGAAGAAAGUGCGUGAGAGUAACUGUUCACGUUUCGACGGUAUCUAACCAGAAAGCCACGGCUAACUACGUGCCAGCAGCCGCGGUAAUACGUAGGUGGCAAGCGUUAUCCGGAUUUAUUGGGCGUAAAGGGAACGCAGGCGGUCUUUUAAGUCUGAUGUGAAAGCCUUCGGCUUAACCGGAGUAGUGCAUUGGAAACUGGGAGACUUGAGUGCAGAAGAGGAGAGUGGAACUCCAUGUGUAGCGGUGAAAUGCGUAGAUAUAUGGAAGAACACCAGUGGCGAAAGCGGCUCUCUGGUCUGUAACUGACGCUGAGGUUCGAAAGCGUGGGUAGCAAACAGGAUUAGAUACCCUGGUAGUCCACGCCGUAAACGAUGAAUGCUAAGUGUUGGAGGGUUUCCGCCCUUCAGUGCUGCAGCUAACGCAAUAAGCAUUCCGCCUG